UACGUGGGGGGCAAGCGUUGUUCGGAAUUACUGGGCGUAAAGGGCUCGUAGGUGGCUAACUAAGUCAGACGUGAAAUCCCUCAGCUUAACUGGGGAACUGCGUCUGAUACUGGAUGGCUUGAGUUUGGGAGAGGGAUGCGGAAUUCCAGGUGUAGCGGUGAAAUGCGUAGAUAUCUGGAGGAACACCGGUGGCGAAGGCAGCAUCCUGGGCCAAUACUGACACUGAACAGCGAAAGCCAGGGGAGCAAACAGG
rnacentral:rRNA from 1 species